CGCCCGCGCGCGCGGCGGGCUACGGGAGGCAGCAGUGGGGAAUAUUGCACAAUGGGCGCAAGCCUGAUGCAGCCAUGCCGCGUGUAUGAAGAAGGCCUUCGGGUUGUAAAGUACUUUCAGCGGGGAGGAAGGCGGUGAGGUUAAUAACCUCACCGAUUGACGUUACCCGCAGAAGAAGCACCGGCUAACUCCGUGCCAGCAGCCGCGUUAAUA
rnacentral:rRNA from 1 species